AUACAAACACUGACACAUACAGAUACACACACAAACGGAAAACAUACAGAUACAGAGACACAUUCUGACAGACGUACUGACACAGACAGUCAUACUGAACCACACAUACACAAAGACAUACUGAACCACACAGACAUUGACAUACAGAUACACUGACAGACAUACUGGCACAUAUACACACAGACAGACAGACAUACUGAAACACACAUACACACAGACAUUGACAGACAUAUUAAAAAACACAGACAUACAGAACCACAUGGACACUGACAGACUCACACAGACAUACUGACAGACAUACAUACAUUCUGGCACACAUACUCACAGACAGACAUACUGAAACACACAUACACACAUACAUACAUACUGAACCACACAGACAUUGACAGACUCACACACACACACAGACAUACUGACACACUGACAGACAUACACACAUACACUGACAGACAUACACACACAAAGACAUACUGACACACUGACAGACAUACACACAUAUACAGACAGACACACACACACUGACAGACAUACACACAUAUACAGACAUACUGAAACACACAUACAGACAUACUGAACCACACAGACACUGACAGACUCUCACACACACAGACAUACAGAUACACAAUGACAGACAUACUG